GCUUCCGAAGGAGAGAGCCUGUGUCCAGCGGUGCUCCAGCUCAGGCUUCUGCAGCCCUGCACCCUUUCCUGUCAAAACGCGUGGAGUCAGGCUUGCACAACAUGACCUGCGGACCCAGAGUCAUUACCAAAAGUCACGUCUUGAAAUGUUGCCAUGCCACCCUGUCUUGGAACCAACUGAUUAUGGAAUGAAACCUUACAAACUCUCUUAUACAAGGCCAAGAAGAGAAACGAAGCUAAGCUCACACCUGUGAGCCUGUCAAAACAUGGACCAGGGAGAACCAGGAGGAAGCUAAGCCCCUACCUGUGAGCCACCCUGAGCAAGGAAUGGGGAGAACCAGGAAGGAAGCUCAACCCCGCCUGUGAGCUAGCCAGAGUACAGGCUGGGGAAGAACAGCCCCCUACCUCACCACCACCACCAGGAGCAACCAGCUGAUUUGGAGGAACUGGAUUAUUUGAUUGACUUUGCAAGCCUAAAGCCAGCAGUCUGAGCAACUGUUUAGAACACGACAAUAUGCAAUACAGUAACUAUGGUAAUUUCCUAUCUUCUGAUAGCUAUUUUAAUUCAUGUUAUUGUUCUGUUUUAGUCCCUUUAAA